GUCGAACGAAGCACUUUUUUAGAUUUCCUUCGGGGAAGAAGAAAUUGUGACUGAGUGGCGGACGGGUGAGUAACGCGUGGGCAACCUGCCCCAUACAGGGGGAUAACAGCCGGAAACGGCUGCUAAAACCGCAUAAGCGCACAAGGGCCGCAUGGCCUGGUGUGAAAAACUCCGGUGGUAUGGGAUGGGCCCGCGUCUGAUUAGCUAGUUGGCGGGGGAGAGGCCCACCAAGGCGACGAUCAGUAGCCGACCUGAGAGGGUGGCCGGCCACAUUGGGACUGAGACACGGCCCAAACUCCUACGGGAGGCAGCAGUGGGGAAUAUUGCACAAUGGGGGAAACCCUGAUGCAGCGACGCCGCGUGAGCGAAGAAGUAUUUCGGUAUGUAAAGCUCUAUCAGCAGGGAAGAAAAAUGACGGUACCUGAGUAAGAAGCACCGGCUAAAUACGUGCCAGCAGCCGCGGUAAUACGUAUGGUGCAAGCGUUAUCCGGAUUUACUGGGUGUAAAGGGAGCGCAGGCGGUGCGGCAAGUCUGAUGUGAAAGCCCGGGGCUCAACCCCGGGACUGCAUUGGAAACUACCGAACUAGAGUGUCGGAGAGGUAAGUGGAAUUCCUAGUGUAGCGGUGAAAUGCGUAGAUAUUAGGAGGAACACCAGUGGCGAAGGCGGCUUACUGGACCAUAACUGACGUUGAGGCUCGAAAGCGUGGGGAGCGAACAGGAUUAGAUACCCUGGUA
rnacentral:rRNA from 1 species